rnacentral:rRNA from 1 species
UACGUAGGUGGCGAGCGUUGUCCGGAUUUACUGGGCGUAAAGGGAGCGUAGGCGGACUUUUAAGUGAGAUGUGAAAUACUCGGGCUCAACUUGAGUGCUGCAUUUCAAACUGGAAGUCUAGAGUGCAGGAGAGGAGAAUGGAAUUCCUAGUGUAGCGGUGAAAUGCGUAGAGAUUAGGAGGAACACCGGUGGCGAAAGCGGCUCUCUGGCCUGUAACUGACACUGAGGCUCGAAAGCGUGGGGAGCAAACAGG